UGCCAGCCGCCGCGGUAAUACGGAGGGUCCGAGCGUUGUCCGGAUUCAUUGGGCGUAAAGAGCUCGUAGGCGGUUGAGUAAGUCGGAUGUGAAAACUCAGGGCUCAACCCUGAGACGCCACCCGAUACUGCUCUGACUCGAGUCCGGUAGAGGAGCAUGGAAUUCCUGGUGUAGCGGUGAAAUGCGCAGAUAUCAGAAGGAAUACCGAUUGCGAAGGCGAUCUACUGGAACAUUAUUGACGCUGAGACGCGAAGGCGUGGGGAGCAAACAGGAUUAGAUA
rnacentral:rRNA from 1 species